UAGCGAAAUUCCUUGUCGGGCAAGUUCCGACCUGCACGAAUGGCAUAACGAUGGCCACACUGUCUCCUCCUGAGACUCAGUGAAGUUGAAGUGUUUGUGAUGAUGCAAUCUCCCCGCGGCUAGACGGAAAGACCCCAUGAACCUUUACUGUAGCUUUGCAUUGGACUUUGAACCGAUCUGUGUAGGAUAGGCGGGAGCCUGUGAAACCACAACGCCAGUUGUGGCGGAGGCGUCCUUGAAAUACCGCCCUGAUUUGUUUGAGGUUCUAACCUGGGACAGUUAUCCUGUCCGGGGACCGUGCAUGGUAGGCAGUUUGACUGGGGCGGUCUCCUCCUAAAGGGUAACGGAGGAGUGCGAAGGUACGCUAGGUACGGUCGGAAAUCGUGCUGAUAGUGCAAUGGCAAAAGCGUGCUUGACUGCGAGACCCACAAGUCGAGCAGAUACGAAAGUAGGUCAUAGUGAUCCGGUGGCUCUGUAUGGAAGGGCCAUCGCUCAACGGAUAAAAGGUACUCUGGGGAUAACAGGCUGAUACCGCCCAAGAGUUCAUAUCGACGGCGGUGUUUGGCACCUCGAUGUCGGCUCAUCUCAUCCUGGGGCUGUAGCCGGUCCCAAGGGUAUGGCUGUUCGCCAUUUAAAGAGGUACGUGAGCUGGGUUUAAAACGUCGUGAGACAGUUUUGUCCCUAUCUGCCGUGGGCGCUGGAAGAUUGACGGGGGCUGCUCCUAGUACGAGAGGACCGGAGUGGACUCACCUCUGGUGUACCGGUUGUCACGCCAGUGGCAUCGCCGGGUAGCUAUGUGGGGAAGAGAUAACCGCUGAAAGCAUCUAAGCGGGAAACUUGCCUGAAGAUAAGUCUUCCUGGAGGCUAGACCUCCCUAAAGAGUCGUUCGAGACCAGGACGUUGAUAGGAUGGGUGUGUAAGUGCUGUGAGGCACUCAGCUAACCAUUACUAAUUGCUCGUGAAGCUUGAUCCU
rnacentral:rRNA from 1 species